rnacentral:rRNA from 1 species
GUGAGGAAUUUUGCGCAAUGGGGGCAACCCUGACGCAGCGACGCCGCGUGGAGGACGAAGUCUUUCGGGAUGUAAACUCCUGUCAGUGGGGACGAUAAUGACGGUACCCACAGAGGAAGCACCGGCUAACUCCGUGCCAGCAGCCGCGGUAAGACGGAGGGUGCAAGCGUUGUUCGGAAUUACUGGGCGUAAAGCGUAUGUAGGCGGCAAGUUAAGUUCAAUGUUAAAGCCCACGGCUCAACCGAGGAGAUGCAUUGAAUACUGGCUAGCUAGAGGGUGUUAGAGGAGGACGGAAUUCCCAGUGUAGCGGUGAGAUGCGUAGAUAUUGGGAGGAACAUCGGUAGCGAAAGCGGUCUUCUGGGACAUACCUGACGCUGAGGUACGAAAGCGUGGGGAGCAAACGGGAUUAGAUACCCGAGUAGUCC